rnacentral:rRNA from 1 species
UACGGAGGGUGCAAGCGUUAUCCGGAUUCACUGGGUUUAAAGGGUGCGUAGGUGGGUUGGUAAGUCAGUGGUGAAAUCUCCGUGCUUAACAUGGAAACUGCCAUUGAUACUACUGAUCUUGAAUUUUCUGGAGGUAAGCGGAAUAUGUCAUGUAGCGGUGAAAUGCUUAGAUAUGACAUAGAACACCAAUUGCGAAGGCAGCUUGCUACAGGGACAUUGACACUGAGGCACGAAAGCGUGGGGAUCAAACAGG